GUCUAUGGCCAUGCCACUCUGAACGUGUCUGAUCUUGUCUAAUCUUGGAAGCUAAGCAGGAUCGGGCCUGGUUAGUACUUGGAUGGGAGACCAUCUAGGAAGGAAGACCAGGUGCUAUAAGUG
rnacentral:rRNA from 1 species